UACGGAGGGGGCUAGCGUUGUUCGGAAUUACUGGGCGUAAAGCGCACGUAGGCGGCUUUGCAAGUCAGAGGUGAAAGCCCGGGGCUCAACCCCGGAAUUGCCUUUGAGACUGCAUCGCUAGAAUUGUGGAGAGGUAAGUGGAAUUCCGAGUGUAGAGGUGAAAUUCGUAGAUAUUCGGAAGAACACCAGUGGCGAAGGCGACUUUCUGGCCUGUAACUGACACUGAGGCGCGAAAGCGUGGGGAGCAAACAGG
rnacentral:rRNA from 1 species